rnacentral:rRNA from 1 species
AGUGAACGCUGGCGGUAGGCCUAACACAUGCAAGUCGAACGGCAGCACAGUAAGAGCUUGCUCUUACGGGUGGCGAGUGGCGGACGGGUGAGGAAUACAUCGGAAUCUACUUUUUCGUGGGGGAUAACGUAGGGAAACUUACGCUAAUACCGCAUACGACCUACGGGUGAAAGCAGGGGAUCUUCGGACCUUGCGCGAUUGAAUGAGCCGAUGUCGGAUUAGCUAGUUGGCGGGGUAAAGGCCCACCAAGGCGACGAUCCGUAGCUGGUCUGAGAGGAUGAUCAGCCACACUGGAACUGAGACACGAUCCAGACUCCUACGGGAGGCAGCAGUGGGGAAUAUUGGACAAUGGGCGCAAGCCUGAUCCAGCCAUACCGCGUGAGUGAAGAAGGCCUUCGGGUUGUAAAGCCCUUUUGUUGGGAAAGAAAAGCAGCAGGUUAAUACCCCGCUGUUCUGACGGUACCCAAAGAAUAAGCACCGGCUAACUUCGUG